CAGGUUGGGAAAGCAAGAGAACGCUUCGCGUUUUCUUAUCUUCUUCCCGCCCUAGGAGUAGCACAAAAAGAGGGAUUAGCAUUAUUGACCCAAUGAUAAAGCACUAACACCUUCCUCGUUGGGGCUCCGCGCACUGGGAAAAGGCUGACGCGACGGGAAAUCGGCCACUAGUUACAAAGCUCCAAUAAGGUAUCGAGAGGGCUAUCACAGUCAGGUGCGAAUUGAUUACCCCAAUUUGUAAACUACCCCUCUUCCUAUUUAGGGAGUUGAGGCGAAAAAU
rnacentral:lncRNA from 1 species